AGAGCUUGGGCGAGUCAACCCAGCUACCUCUAUCUUCUGCUGGAAGCUCUGGUGAGCUCAUUCAGACAGCUGAGGACUGCAUCUGGCUGGCACUGCCCGGACAGACUGCCUGCAUUGGACAGCCCCAGCCGCUGCUGUCAAGUGAGGCUGUGUGCAGACAGGAGUGGUGGUGCGGGUACCCAAAGUGCAGACACUCGGAGGCAAAAUGUGAACUCAAAACCAGCUUUAAUGCUGAUCUCAAACGUAACACAACUAAAAACCACAAAAUAAACUCACGCAGGCAGCCAGACCACAGUAUAGAUAAGGGUAGAAAGAUGAGAUAAGGGUAGAGAGAUGAGAUAAGGGUAGAGAGAUGAGAUAAGGGUAGAGAGAUGAGAUAAGGGUAGAGAGAUGAGAUAAGGGUUGCUCACGACACGGACAAAGGAAAACACAGGGCUUAAAUACACAGAGGGAGCAAUCAGUGAAUGGGAGACACAGCAGGGACGAAUAAGUGCUAACGAGACAGGGAAGCAAAACCUGAUACAAUAACGUGAGACACGGACUUCAAAGUAAAACAGGAAACAUAACACAGAGACGCAGACUUGACAAGGGGAGACAGCAACUAAGGAACACAGACGGAAAACAGAAAGCAGGACUCUAAAGAAGAAACUAAAAGACUAGAAAAGAUAAAUAAUAUCAAAAGCAAAAAUCAAUAAUUAUGAAAACUCAAAAUUCUGGUUUGAAGACCCAGGUCUCCUGACAGCUGCGUCUCAAGCCAAAGGUGUGCGCUGUGCAGCAGCAGUUAGCGUAGCCUCAGCCAGAGGUCUCCACACCUCCUGGCCCUGCGUCUGUCUCCGCUGGGCACUCUGAGGGUCCAAGGGGCCCGUCCAGCUGUCGGAGGCUCAGGAGAGUCCAUCAAGCCAUCAGCGCAACCACAUCCAUCGCCUGCAGCAGCCAUGUCGCCGGAUGUUCAUCUGCCAGGGGCUGCUCCACCUCUUCUCUGCCAGAGGUCCCCACACCUGCUGGCCCUAAUACGCUGUCACCUUCUGGACCGUUUUCAUGUCACCACUGCUUUCUGCAAGCAUGUCUUUAUCCUGUCUUCCUUCCCUCACCCCAACCAAUCACAGCAGAUGGCCCCGCCCCUCCCUGAGCCUGGUUCUGCCGGAGGUUUCUUCCUGUUAAAAUCAUGCAAAUGGUCCAGAAUGCUGCUGCUCGCCUGCUGACAGAGACAAACGUGAGCACAUUACCCCUGUUCUUGCCUCU
ensembl:lncRNA